GCGCACGUAACUCAGUUGGUAGAGUGCAACCCUUCCAAGGUUGAUGUCGCAAGUUCGAGACUUGUCGUGCGCUCCA
rnacentral:tRNA from 1 species